rnacentral:rRNA from 1 species
GGAUUAGCGGCGAACGGGUGAGGAACACGUGAGGAAUCUGCCUUCAACACUGGGAUAACUCCGGGAAACCGGGGCUAAUACCGGAUACGAGACCUGCAGGCAUCUGCGGGUCUGGAAAGUUUUUCGGUUGAAGAUGACCUCGCGGCCUAUCAGCUUGUUGGUGAGGUAAUGGCUCACCAAGGCGACGACGGGUAGCCGGCCUGAGAGGGCGACCGGCCACACUGGGACUGAGACACGGCCCAGACUCCUACGGGAGGCAGCAGUGGGGAAUAUUGGGCAAUGGAGGGAACUCUGACCCAGCGACGCCGCGUGCGGGAUGAAGGCCUUCGGGUUGUAAACCGCUUUCAGCAAGGAAGAAGCGAAAGUGACGGUACUUGCAGAAGAAGCACCGGCUAACUAUGUGCCAGCAGCCGCGGUAAUACAUAGGGUGCAAGCGUUGUCCGGAAUUAUUGGGCGUAAAGAGCUCG